rnacentral:rRNA from 1 species
AGGGAAUCUUCCGCAAUGGACGCAAGUCUGACGGAGCAACGCCGCGUGAGUGAAGAAGGUUUUCGGAUCGUAAAACUCUGUUGUUAGAGAAGAACAAGUGCUAGAGUAACUGUUAGCGCCUUGACGGUAUCUAACCAGAAAGCCACGGCUAACUACGUGCCAGCAGCCGCGGUAAUACGUAGGUGGCAAGCGUUGUCCGGAUUUAUUGGGCGUAAAGCGAGCGCAGGCGGUUAGAUAAGUCUGAAGUUAAAGGCUGUGGCUUAACCAUAGUACGCUUUGGAAACUGUUUAACUUGAGUGCAGAAGGGGAGAGUGGAAUUCCAUGUGUAGCGGUGAAAUGCGUAGAUAUAUGGAGGAACACCGGUGGCGAAAGCGGCUCUCUGGCUUGUAACUGACGCUGAGGCUCGAAAGCGUGGGGAGCAAACAGGAUUAGAUACCCUGGUAGUCCACGCCGUAAACGAUGAGUGCUAGGUGUUAGACCCUUUCCGGGGUUUAGUGCCGUAGCUAACGCAUUAAGCACUCCGCCUGGGGAGUACGACCGCAAGGUUG